rnacentral:rRNA from 1 species
CCGGAAUUAUUGGGCGUAAAGAGCGCGCAGGUGGUUAAUUAAGUCUGAUGUGAAAGCCCACGGCUUAACCGUGGAGGGUCAUUGGAAACUGGUUGACUUGAGUGCAGAAGAGGGAAGUGGAAUUCCAUGUGUAGCGGUGAAAUGCGUAGAGAUAUGGAGGAACACCAGUGGCGAAGGCGGCUUCCUGGUCUGCAACUGACACUGAGGCGCGAAAGCGUGGGGAGCAAACAGGAUUAGAUACCCUGGUAGU